rnacentral:siRNA from 2 species
UUCUUGACCUUGCAAGUCCGAGGU